rnacentral:rRNA from 1 species
UUACCCCGGCGUAGAAUUAAGCAUAUCAAUAAGCGGAGGAAAAGAAACCAACAGGGAUUGCCCUAGUAACGGCGAGUGAAGCGGCAACAGCUCAAAUUUGAAAUCUGGCUCUUUCAGAGUCCGAGUUGUAAUUUGCAGAGGGCGCUUUGGCGUCGGCAGCGGUCCAAGUUCUUUGGAACAGGACGUCACAGAGGGUGAGAAUCCCGUACGUGGUCGCUAGCCUUCGCCGUGUAAAGCCCCUUCGACGAGUCGAGUUGUUUGGGAAUGCAGCUCUAAAUGGGAGGUAAAUUUCUUCUAAAGCUAAAUACUGGCCAGAGACCGAUAGCGCACAAGUAGAGUGAUCGAAAGAUGAAAAGCACUUUGGAAAGAGAGUCAAAUAGCACGUGAAAUUGUUGAAAGGGAAGCGCUUGCAGCCAGACUUACCUGUAGUUGCUUAUCUGGACUUUUGUCCAGUGCACUCUUCUACGGGUAGGCCAGCAUCAGUUUGGGCGGUUGGAUAAAGGUCUCUGUCACGUACCUCCCUUCGGGGUGGCCUUAUAGGGGAGACGUCAUGCAACCAGCCUGGACUGAGGUCCGCGCAUCUGCUAGGAUGCUGGCGUAAUGGCUGUAAGCGGCCCGUCUUGAAACACGGACCAAGGAGUCUAACAUCUAUGCGAGUGUUUGGGUGUCAAGCCCAGACGCGUAAUGAAAGUGAACGGAGGUGGGAACCCUUUGGGUGCACCAUCGACCGAUCCUGAUGUCUUCGGAUGGAUUUGAGUAAGAGCAUGGCUGUUGGGACCCGAAAGAUGGUGAACUAUGCUUGAAUAGGGUGAAGCCAGAGGAAACUCUGGUGGAGGCUCGCAGCGGUUCUGACGUGCAAAUCGAUCGUCAAAUUUGGGCAUAGGGGCGAAAGACUAAUCGAACUAUCUAGUAGCUGGUUCCUGCCGAAGUUCCCCCCUCCAGGAAA